rnacentral:misc_RNA from 1 species
GUGGAAUUAGUCAAGGUGUGCGAAAGCUAUCCCGGACACCAUGGUCAUAAAAAGAAAAGUCUUGGCCUCUAAAUCUAGGUGUUAGGAUACUGGCAUGAUGGAUAAAGUAGUAUUCUUUCUAAAGCAGAAGCACAGGGGAAUUUUGACCUUCUUGCAUAGGCCAUUCAAGACUGUGGCAACUUUGUGGCAUUUUAUCUGCACUUUUGCAGACUAUACAUAAAGCUUUAUUCGAUGUCUAACUGUCAUUCCAACUGUUAUUGCGAUUUUCG